rnacentral:rRNA from 1 species
GACGAACGCUGGCGGCGGGCCUAAUACAUGCAAGUAGGACGGAGUUGGGAACGGGUGAGUAACGCGUAGGUAACUACCUAUUAGAGGGGGAUAACUAUUGGAAACGAUAGCGAAUACCGCAGACUAGUAGAUGGACCUGCGUUGUAUUAGCUAGUAGGGAGGGUAAUGGCCUACCUAGGCAAAGAUACAUAGCCGACCUGGGAAGGUGUACGGCCCACCUGGGACUGCGGCCCCGCCCCGACUCCCACGGGAGCCAGCAGUGGGAAACAUCGGAAAUGGGGGGAACGCUGACCGCGCACCGCCGCGUGAGUGAAGAAGGUCUUCGGGUCGUAAAGCUCUGUUGUUAAGGGAGCGGUACUUAACCAGAAAGGGACGGCUAACUACGUGCCAGCCGCCGCGGUAAUAC